ACAAAAUCGUCCUGUACCAAUUUCGGGAGCCAACGUAGCGUCGUGGAUUGGCAUUGUUAUUACUACCUUUUAAAGAGUAUAUCAGUUUAGCUACGCACAUAACCCACCAUCACAUAACAUUUUAACAGGAGUGUUUGGGUCGUUCUGUUCACCGUCUUCUACCAGUGUUUACUAUUAUGUGAGAGGUUGCCGGAAGUUUUAGGCUUUAAAUGGAGUGAAAUGACAGGAUAUCAGGAAGUCGCCUUACCUGUGCUUGAGUUGCAAUUAACUCGCUGGUCUGAGGAAAGAAGGGUGUAAAGAAGCUCGCUGUCUUUCUUGAUUCUCAGUAGCUGUCUAGUAGUCUGUUCGCUGAAGUAUAUGGUAGCGAGAUGAUGAACAGACAUGGAAGUUCCGAAACCCAUGCAUAUCGCCUUCUCGUGCAA
rnacentral:sRNA from 1 species